GUGCUUGCUUCGGCAGCACAUAUACUAAAAUUGGAACGAUGCAGAGAAAAUUAGCAUGGCCCUUGUGCAAGGAUAACAUGCAGACUUGUGAAGUGUUCGAUAUUUUU